CAGGAGAAAAUCGCCGGAUCCCCGGGGC
rnacentral:sRNA from 1 species